rnacentral:rRNA from 1 species
UACGAAGGGGGCUAGCGUUGCUCGGAAUCACUGGGCGUAAAGCGCACGUAGGCGGCUUCUUAAGUCAGGGGUGAAAUCCUGGAGCUCAACUCCAGAACUGCCCUUGAUACUGGCGAUCUCGAGUUCGGGAGAGGUGAGUGGAACUGCGAGUGUAGAGGUGAAAUUCGUAGAUAUUCGCAAGAACACCAGUGGCGAAGGCGGCUCACUGGCCCGAUACUGACGCUGAGGUGCGAAAGCGUGGGGAGCAAACAGG